GCGGGGAUCGCCCAGCCUGGUCAAAGGCGCGAGGCUUAGGACCUCGUCCCUUAGGGGUUCGUGGGUUCAAAUCCCACUCCCCGCACCA
rnacentral:tRNA from 1 species